GUGGGGAAUAUUGGACAAUGGGCGAAAGCCUGAUCCAGCCAUGCCGCGUGUGUGAAGAAGGUCUUCGGAUUGUAAAGCACUUUAAGUUGGGAGGAAGGGCAGUAAGUUAAUACCUUGCUGUUUUGACGUUACCGACAGAAUAAGCACCGGCUAACUUCGUGCCAGCAGCCGCGGUAAUACGAAGGGUGCAAGCGUUAAUCGGAAUUACUGGGCGUAAAGCGCGCGUAGGUGGUUCAGCAAGUUGAAGGUGAAAUCCCCGGGCUCAACCUGGGAACUGCCUCCAAAACUACUGAGCUAGAGUACGGUAGAGGGUAGUGGAAUUUCCUGUGUAGCGGUGAAAUGCGUAGAUAUAGGAAGGAACACCAGUGGCGAAGGCGACUACCUGGACUGAUACUGACACUGAGGUGCGAAAGCGUGGGGAGCAAACAGGAUUAGAUACCCGUGUAGUCC
rnacentral:rRNA from 1 species